rnacentral:tRNA from 1 species
CGGGAUGUAGCGCAGUUGGUAGCGCGCCUGGUUUGGGACCAGGAUGUCGCAGGUUCGAAUCCUGUCAUUCCGACCA